UACGAAGGGGGCUAGCGUUGCUCGGAAUUACUGGGCGUAAAGAGUGUGUAGGCGGUGCUCUAAGUUCGGUGUGAAAUCUCCCGGCUUAACUGGGAGGGUGCGCCGGAAACUGGAGUGCUCGAGCGUGGGAGAGGAAAGCGGAAUUCCUGGUGUAGCGGUGAAAUGCGUAGAUAUCAGGAGGAACACCUGCGGUGUAGACGGCUUUCUGGACCAUUGCUGACGCUGAGACACGAAAGCGUGGGUAGCAAACAGG
rnacentral:rRNA from 1 species